rnacentral:misc_RNA from 1 species
GGACUACCGGGGUAUCUAAUCCUGUUUGCUACCCACGCUUUCGCACCUCAGCGUCAGUAUUGGCCCAGGAAGUCGCCUUCGCCACCGGUGUUCCUUCCUAUAUCUACGCAUUUCACCGCUACACAGGAAAUUCCACCACCCUCUACCGUACUCUAGCUCGCCAGUUUUGGAUGCAGUUCCCAGGUUGAGCCCGGGGCUUUCACAUCCAACUUAACGAACCACCUACGCGCGCUUUACGCCCAGUAAUUCCGAUUAACGCUUGCACCCUCUGUAUUACCGCGGCUGCUGGCACAGAGUUAGCCGGUGCUUAUUCUGUCGGUAACGUCAAAACAGCAAGGUAUUAGCUUACUGCCCUUCCUCCCAACUUAAAGUGCUUUACAAUCCGAAGACCUUCUUCACA